GAUGAACGCUAGCGGCAGGCUUAAUACAUGCAAGGCGAAGGGGCGGUAACGUCACUGUCGUACGGGUGCGUAACGCGUAUGCAACCUACCUAUCACUGGGGGAUAGCCCGGGGAAACCCGGAUUAAUACCGCAUAAAACAGGGGCACCGCAUGGUGAUAUUUGUUAAAGAUUUAUUGGUGAUAGAUGGGCAUGCGUUCGAUUAGCUAGUUGGCGGGGUAACGGCCCACCAAGGCGACGAUCGAUAGGGGAGCUGAGAGGUUGAUCCCCCACACGGGCACUGAGAUACGGGCCCGACUCCUACGGGAGGCAGCAGUAGGGAAUAUUGGGCAAUGGAUGCAAGUCUGACCCAGCCAUGCCGCGUGCCGGAUGAAGGCCCUCAGGGUUGUAAACGGCUUUUAUUCGGGAAGAAGAGCAGGGAUGCGUCCUUGUGUGACGGUACCGAAUGAAUAAGCACCGGCUAACUCCGUGCCAGCCGCCGCGGUAAGAC
rnacentral:rRNA from 1 species